rnacentral:tRNA from 1 species
GCCGCGGCGAUAGCUCAGUAAGGUGAAAGCGCCAGUUGAGAAGAUGGCGAUUUCCGAGAGCUAUUAUCCGUGCGGGUUCGAAUCCCGCCUGUGGCA